UAGGAGUGCAAAUCAUUGGCUUCACCCCAAACCUGCUGCAUCAGAAACGCCGAGCUGAACAGUUGUUUUUCAAAGGAAGUCCAACAUGUAAAAAUAGAUGUCAGGGGGAGUUGCUCUGAUUGAAUCAAGAAGAGUCGAGGAAGUGCCUGCUGGGGACUCCACCUGGGACCCCUUGGAGCAUCAUUUGAAAAUCACUCCCACGAACUAUUUGCAGAAAGAAAUGCUGACGUCCUCGUAAAAUGGUUCUGCUGCUGUUUGUUGGCCAGAAGAUAGCGGCCUGGCACAGCCGCUUGAAAGAUCACUCACUCUGGGGGAAGCAAGCCUUGCUGUGAGCAGCCUUAGGCAGAGGCCCACAUGGUUAGGAAAUGAAGUUUACAGCCACCAAGGAACUGAGGCCUGUCAUCAGCCAUGUGCGUGUCCUUGAAGUGGAUCCUGAGCCUUCAGGGGACAACAGCCCUGGCCCACAGCUUGGCUGUAAUUCCGUGAGCGACUGUAAGCCAGAAGCCCAGUCUCAAAUUUCUUUCAAAGCAUCACUGUGCCCAGAAUAAAAACCAAUCAACCAACCAACCAACCAACCAACCAACCAACCAAGCAAGCAGAAGUUACCCAAGAAGAAAAAUGGGACUGGGUCUACAGAAUCAGAGCAUGUUGGAUCUUGGCUGCUGAAACACAAAGCAAAACACUCUUCUCAGUUGUAUUUUAGACUCAUACUUAAAACAAAACAAAAUAACAAACAUUUUUGACUCCUUCUCUGGGGAGCUUGAGCGAUGAGGAAAUCAUCAGAGACGAUUUCUUUAACAGUUUGACCCUACCCUGUCCCCAUCCUAGGAACCAGACUGCUGGACUUGGCCAAGAAUAAAUGGAACUUGAGUUUCAAAAUCCUCCUGCCCAAUAAUGUUUCAAAUUUGUAGCCUUUGAAGAUGAUGAAGAUGUGAAAUGUAGCAAACUGAAUUGAGCAUUUACCAACAAGUGUUUGGAGAAUUCUCUUGCCUUUUUGGGCAAGAACCUGUUUACAGACAUGAUUGUAAGAACCCUGCUUUUUAUUCUCCUCAGUAACUGGGGCUGCCCAAAGUCUGAAGCUCUCUUAUCUGCCCAGACAGUCUUUGAUCCACCCACCUUAAACAGAACAGGAAAAAGGGUUUGUUUUAGCUUUGUUUUUAAGCAUUGUCACACCCUAAGUGGAAAAUUUUUAGGUUAUAUAUUAGACUAGACAAAUUAAAAACAUCUAAAAACAACACCUCAAAAUGUGUUUAUAAUUUAAUGUGGAAAUGAAUAAAAAAUGGGUUCAAUUUUGGGUUAAAAUUAACAAAAAAAGUUG